rnacentral:rRNA from 1 species
GGACUACUAGGGUAUCUAAUCCUGUUUGAUCCCCACGCUUUCGUGCCUCAGCGUCAAUGUCUGUUUAGUAAGCUGCCUUCGCAAUUGGUGUUCUAAGUCAUAUCUAAGCAUUUCACCGCUACAUGACUUAUUCCGCCUACCUCAACAGAAUUCAAGACUAAUAGUAUCAAUGGCAGUUUCCAAGUUGAGCUCGGAGAUUUCACCACUGACUUAAAAGCCCGCCUACACACCCUUUAAACCCAGUAAAUCCGGAUAACGCUUGCACCCUCCGUAUUACCGCGGCUGCUGGCAC